GUGCCAGCCGCCGCGGUAAUACGGAGGGUGCAAGCGUUGUCCGGAAUCACUGGGCCUAAAGCGUCCGUAGCUGGCUGCGCAAGUCCGUCGGGAAAUCCAUCAGCCCAACUGAUGGGCGUCCGGCGGAAACUGCACGGCUUGGGACCGGAAGGCUCGAGAGGUACGUCCGGGGUAGGAGUGAAAUCCCGUAAUCCCGAACGGACCACCGAUGGCGAAAGCAUCUCGAGAAAACGGAUCCGACAGUGAGGGACGAAAGCUAGGGUCUCGAACCGGAUUAGAAACCCUAGUAGUCC
rnacentral:rRNA from 1 species